GAGCAAAUCAACCAGCACAUUUAAGCAGCCUUUUUAACCCUGAGACUUUCCAAGAUUUCUUCUUCACACAGGAAGUUUCUUUAUAUUGUCAGAUUUAGCACUUUGCUCAUGUAAUGAGAUCAGAGCUAGGAUCACUGCUGCACAGUAGAAAGACUUCCUUAAGACAUUUGUCCUUGAAACUGCACCAAACUCUUGGAAGAACCCAGAACCUGCUUUCUCUUUGAAAACUGACCAUUUCUAUUUGAACAAAAAGAAAGACGCUGAAUCUGAGCAAUGCUGGGCUGGGAAAAUAAGGGUGUCUGGGAACGUGUUACCGUGGCGCUUUGARCAGAGUCUCCGCAGACGCCGCUCUUGGAAGGCAGGAUUUGCUGACAUUUUGGCUGUUUCAUUGCCAGAGGAGGCUUUGUGUGUCCCAAAGGAAGUGAGUGAUCUGGCCAUAACAAAUCCUGCCAAAAUAUUUUAACACCGUUACGAUUUCCUAAUGCAAUGCGUAGUGAAUGUGACUAGGAAAGGAUGGUGAGUCCGUGACGGGGAUUUGUUCCCUCUCGCGUGCAGUUGCCCGGYAGAACGAGCACCGAUGAGCCCUGG
rnacentral:lncRNA from 1 species